rnacentral:rRNA from 1 species
GACGAACGCUGGCGGCGUGCUUAAUACAUGCAAGUCGAACGGACCGAUUCCGGUAGUUUACUAUUGGGAAAGGUUAGUGGCGGACGGGUGAGUAACGCGUGGGCAAUCUGCCCCUAAGUCCGGGAUAACAGAGCGAAAGUUCUGCUAAGACCGGAUACUCUUAACCAGCCGCAUGGUUGGUAAAGGAAAGGGAUCGCUUAGGGAUAAGCCGGCGUCCCAUUAGCUAGUUGGUGAGGUAACGGCCCACCAAGGCGACGAUGGGUAACGGGCCUGAGAGGGUGAGGAGGCGCAAUGGAGAGGAGACACGGGCCAGGCUCCUGCGGGAGGGAGCAGUAGGGAGGGUGGCUCAAUGGGGUAAACCCUGAAGCAGCAACGCCGCGGGGAGGAUGACACUUGUCGGAGCGGAAAAUCCUUGGCUUGGGAAAGAAUUAUGACGGGACCCAAGGAAUAAGCACCGGCUAACUCCGUG